GCCUAGCCCUAAAUCUCGAUGCUUGCCGUACCAAAGCAUCCGCCCGAGAACUACGAGCACAAACGCUUAAAACUCUAAGGACUUGGCGGUGCCCCAAACCCAUCUAGAGGAGCCUGUUCUAUAAUCGAUAACCCACGAUUCACCCGACCACCUCUCGCCAAAGCAGCCUACAUACCGCCGUCGCCAGCUCACCUUCCCUGAAAGCCCAAUAGUGAGCACAAUAGCCCAACCUGCUAGUAAGACAGGUCAAGGUAUAGCCCAUGAGGUGGAAGAAAUGGGCUACAUUUUCUACGAUAGAAAACCCACGAAAGGGGGUAUGAAACAGCCCCCGGAAGGCGGAUUUAGCAGUAAAGCGGGACAAUAGAGCCCUCUUUAAGUUGGCCCUGGGGC
rnacentral:rRNA from 1 species